GACGAACGCUGGCGGCGUGCUUAACACAUGCAAGUCGAACGGAAAGGCCCUGCUUUUGUGGGGUGCUCGAGUGGCGAAAGGGUGAGUAACACGUGAGUGACCUGCCCUUGACUUUGGGAUAACUUCAGGAAACUGGGGCUAAUACCGGAUAGGAGCUCCUGCUGCAUGGUGGGGGUUGGAAAGUUUCGGCGGUUGGGGAUGGACUCGCGGCUUAUCAGCUUGUUGGUGGGGUAGUGGCUUACCAAGGCUUUGACGGGUAGCCGGCCUGAGAGGGUGACCGGCCACAUUGGGACUGAGCUACGGCCCAGACUCCUACGGGAGGCAGCAGUGGGGAAUAUUGCACAAUGGGCGGAAGCCUGAUGCAGCAACGCCGCGUGUGGGAUGACGGCCUUCGGGUUGUAAACCGCUUUCGCCUGUGACGAAGCGUGAGUGACGGUAAUGGGUAAAGAAGCACCGGCUAACUACGUG
rnacentral:rRNA from 1 species